UCUGGCCCUUCCAUAGAAAAUAUGCCAGUGUACCUUGGGCACUGAUAUCUCCUAGCAACACUGUGAGGGAGAUGUCUUCUCCCACCUCAUGAACUCAGUGGGGCUCAAUGAAAGGCGUGGGAUUUGCCCUUGUUAUACACAGAAUAGUGGGGAGCUCAGCCUGCCCUAGACCUCCAUUCCCCCACCUCCUCUGCAGUCUUCUUUGGGGUUGGGAGGGAGUAGAGAGCUGCCAGGGGACCUAGGGGGAAAGAGAGACCAUGGGGUAGGGAAGCUGGGCAUCUACCUUUCCUUGGAGUGGUCUGGAAGACAGGCCAGUAGUUGAGUUCAUGAACAGAGAGGAAGGUUCGAGAACUUCCUGAAAUGUCUAGUCCUCCCUACCUCUCUGGUGCUUGACCAAGGGCUCCUGAGCAGGUGUGUUCUAGUGGACUGCAAAUGUGGUUCAUGGGAGGUUGAGGAACUACGGGCUGAAACCCAUGGUCUGUAUGGCCCUGUUUUUCUGUUCCCAGGCUUGCAGCCCCAUUCCUAGCAUCACAUGGGAAAAAUCUCCUCCAGAUAGGCUGAGGAUAGUCUGUCAGGAGGCCCUGCAUAGGCUAGAGUCUCCAAAUGCCCAAGGACAGCCCAAGGGAUACUUUUACUACUUAUCCAACACUCCCCCAGCUUUUCUAUGCUGGUGUCUCAAGGUCCGUGCAUUCCAUUCCUGAUGCAGAAACCUUCAGCAUGCCAGCCAGCCCCAGGGACAGAGACCCAAAUGAAGAUCUGUCUCAGCUGAAGGACACAAGCUGAAAGGUGGCUGCCACAUGCUCUCUGCUGUUUGCCACAGCCCAGGACCCGAUGGCUUCCUUCUGCCAAGUCUCCCUGAGUAGUCUGUAUAUGUAUGUUUGAAUGCAUGUGUGCACGCCUGUGUGUAAACUUGUGUGAUGGAGAUGGAGCUGUUGGGUAGGGACAAGAGCUCCUGGGAAUCUCCUGUUUUCUCUGUACAGGAGGGAUCAUGGACUACUUGGAGAAAUGGGUAUGGAGUCUGAGGCCCUGCCUUCUUAGACCUCCCAGUCCAGGGAAGCCCCUCCCUGCUCAUGCUCAGGCACGGACUGUGGUGUGAGGUCAGAGGCACUGGCAUUGGACUGGAUUCUGGGCCCAGUGGCGUCAGUCAGGAGACGGGGAUAGAAGGAGGACUCAGCUUUGUGUUCGUGUCCCAUUGUGGCCCUGAGUAGUCUGAGCUUCUGCGUCCCCCCCCCCCCUGGGCUACUUUUGUUCCUCCAUGGUGCCCUUGCUGUGUGAUGGGGUGGUGAUGCACUUUAUUUCCUUGCAGUCUGCAUUGCAGGCAGCGGAGCAUCAAUCAGUUCGGAGACUUGGCCUGGAUGAGCACGCAUUUCCUUGUGUGAUGAACUCUGCAUUGCCAGUGUUGUCUGGUCAGAGAUGGAGUUCCGAUGCUGUCACUUGUUGUUGUCUCCCAAAGUCUGGCCUCAGUGAGUUUAAUUCCAGUUGAACCUCGAGAGGGAGGCGAAAUGAAACAGCGCUCUGCAGGCCACUCUGUGACGCCCAGAGACCCCUCUGCAGUAGCAGGCGGGCCAGGCAAGCGCUUUGUGUAAGGAUUCCAUCAGCCUGCGACAGCAUCCCAGCCUGAAAAGCAGACUUGCCAUCCACUCUCUCUCCCUAUUCUCUCUGUCCUCUGCGCGGUCCGCGGUCCCGCAGUCGUGGUCUCUCUCUCUCUCUCUGUCUGUCUGUCUCUCUGUCUCCCUCUGUCUCUCUCUCUCUCUCCUUCCUCCUA